UGGCUUAGAAGCAGCCAUUCAUUUAAAGAGUGCGUAAUAGCUCACUGGUCGAGUGAAGUUGCGCGGAAAAUUACCGGGGCUAAGUUAUACACCGAAAUUGCGGAUUCAUUAAGAAAUUAAUGAGUGGUAGAGGAGCGUUCUAUACAGGAUGAAGUAUGAUCGAGAGGACAUAUGGACAGUAUAGAAGAGAGAAUGCCGGAAUGAGUAGCGAGAGCAAAGUGAGAAUCUUUGCCGUCGAAAAUCUAAGGUUUCCUGGGGAAGGUUCGUCCGCCCAGGGUAAGUCGGGACCUAAGGUGAGGCCGAAGGGCGUAGCCGAUGGACAGCAGGUUAAGAUUCCUGCACCAGUAUACAUGUAUAAUGCAUAAGAGGACACAUUUGAAGAAGGUGAGCGAGGAAGAGGAAAAACUCGUAUGGCAACAUAUAGUGAAAUUAAGUAACGAAUCAUCAAGAGGCAAGUGGCGAGAAAAGUCUUAUGUAGUUGUGUAGACUGCCCGUACCGCAAACCGACACAGGUAGAUGAGGAGAGGAUCCUAAGACGAGCGGGAGAAGCAUUGUUAAGGAACUCGGCAAAUUGACCCCGUAACUUAGGGAUAAGGGGUGCUGGUGUAAAAGCCAGUCGCAGUAAAUAGGCCCAAGCAACUGUUUAACAAAAACACAGGUUUCUGCUAAAUCGCAAGAUGAAGUAUAGGAGCUGACUCCUGCCCAGUGCUGGAAGGUUAAGGGGAAAGGUUAAGAAUAAUUCAUUAUAUCUGAAGCUUUGAACUCAAGCCCCAGUGAACGGCGGCCGUAACUAUAACGGUCCUAAGGUAGCGAAAUUCCUUGUCAGGUAAGUUCUGACCCGCACGAAAGGAGUAAUGAUUUGGGCACUGUCUCAACAAUGUACCCGGCGAAAUUGUAGUACUAGUGAAGAUGCUAGUUACCUGCGACAAGACGGAAAGACCCCAUGGAGCUUUACUAUAGCCUGAUAUUGGGCUUUGGUAUCUUAUGUACAGGAUAGGUGGGAGACUAUGAGAUUAAGACGCAAGUCUUAAAGGAGUCAACCUUGGAAUACCACCCUUAAGAUAUUAGAGUUCUAACUUGUGAUCAUAAACUGGUCAGAGGACAUUGUCAGGUGGGUAGUUUGACUGGGGCGGUCACCUCCUAAAGAGUAACGGAGGUGCGCAAAGGUUUCCUCGGCACGGUCAGAAAUCGUGCUAAUGAGUGUAAAGGCAUAAGGAAGCUUAACUGAGAGAGAGACAUCUCGACCAGAUACGAAAGUAGGUCUUAGUGAUCCGGUGGUAGAAAAUGGAAUUGCCAUCGCUCAACGGAUAAAAGUUACCCUGGGGAUAACAGGCUUAUCUCCCCCAAGAGUUCACAUCGACGGGGAGGUU
rnacentral:rRNA from 1 species